rnacentral:lncRNA from 1 species
GUUUCAGAAGGAUCACCAAUCACAGAAUAGUGAUAUAAUUCAAGUCCCUUGGUCUGUUUUCUAUGACCUUGUCUUGAAAAUGAGAAUGCGAUUACUCACAUGUGUGUUUUUCCUUUGCUUUCAGGAGUAUACAGCAAGGUGAACUAUACUAAAUAUAAUACCACCUAGCAGUGCAUGGGCUCUUUCCCUAUGGUGUCUUACUGAACUGUCACUCACACUUAUGAAACUGAUACCAUCCCUUGUCACUUGUGAUUCUUUCUUCUGCUUGUUGUAUGAAAAAUGAAUAUAGUAUUUGCCAAGAGAAGAAGGUAAAGGAGAAGGAGACAUUGAGCCUGAGAGGUUUCUGUACAGUAAGCAAGGGAAUGGCACCAGGUGGAUUGGAAUUUGGCUUCUUGUUUCUCUCAGGACCUCUGUGUGAGAGAACAGAGAAGAGCAGAAGAGCUCUUGCAGGAGUCCUGAGGUAGCCAUGUGAGUAGCCCACACGGCAGCUACCUAACCUGCCAACCCUGCAUUCUCCCCCUUGACAGUGAGCUCACACCAACCCUAGGCAGGUUCUAGCAGGAGGGC